AGUAUGACUUAGCAGAAAUAUUCCUUUGGAAUUUUUUAUUUCCGGGAGUGUAUAAAAAUCGAGUCAAACAAGUUGUUACAACCAGGUACAAGGAGAUAAACAACAUUAGAAUAAAAGGUGCAAAGAUUCUGUUUAACAAAUCAGUUGAAAUCGACUAGCUAACGUUCGAGGUUGAAGAGGAUGCUGAAAAAUAUAACUUUUUCUAUUUUAAAUAUUCUUGUGUGUCAAUGAAUGUUCUGGAAUUUUUGGUGAUUACGAGAACACAACAAAUACAAAGUUUGGAGAAAAACUUGCACAUCAAAAAAGGCAGUCGCAGAGGAAACUCCGGCAACAGAAAGGAACUCCAAGUUCUAACUCAAAUCCACCACGUACCAUAGCUCAGAUACUUGAAUUCAAGCACACACUGAAAGAUUUUCGUUAUUUGGAA